ACUAUGUGCUAGAAUUCGUUGUUUCCCAUUUCUCUCAGCCUCCUACUUCAGCCCAUCUACUGCGAUGUCCCCCUCCUGCGGGCAUCAACAAUCCUGUUGGUGGACUGUAAGCAGAAGAAAAAGAUUGAAACAGCUGAUCAUAUGCAAACCAAGAAGAAACAGAAUCGAAAGAAAAUUCGGGACAACGUUGUACUGAUCAGCGCAACCAUCACCUCAUAAUUGAAUUUUUGCUUGUUGUCUUCCAUAUCUAUCAUACUGUAUAUGAUAUCCCACUCCUACAAAGCUCACACCACUAUGAACUGAGAUAGUCGUACACCCAUAAGAUUUUUGCACACUAUCUUUCAAGAAACAGCAAGGCCACAAUAAUUGAUCAUGCUCAUGUCCAAACCCAGCAACUCUUCUAUUAUGCAUCAAGAUGAUUUAUAUCAACUACAAAUAUUCGCUUGUCCAUUUCAUCAGAGAGGUUAUAAGCAUAAUGCCAUUGGAAAAAAAAGAUAAGAAUGGACAGCAUACCUUUGUUAUGGUGAUGAGAGCUAAUUUUAUAGGAAAUGCACCCAGGAGACACAAGCCUCAGUCUAUAUAUGUACCUGUCAUGGCAAUAAUGUGAAGAGAAAUGAAGUUGAAUAUAACAGACCAAAUACCCAAUUGAGUAUCAAAAUAACAUAAAUUGUAAAGUAGUGGGAUGAAAAUACCAACCUGUAUUUCUUCAGUAUAGGCAACCAGUUCUAGAGCUAAUGGUACAUUUUAAGCUCGAACGUACAUACACAGCACACCUAAUUUGACUAAGUUCAACUGAUGCCGCAAAACCAGCUCCUUCACUGAAAAGGGAAAACAACUUCAGAACCAAAAUGAGAAGUUUGCUAAAAUAGAUCUCCACCACCAUUGUUGUGGAUUUGUUCCUUUAUCUUAACAAAAUAAAUACUAAAGACUUUAUCUUAACAAAAUAAAUACUAAAGAGCACACUUUUGCCAAAUAUUUCUUAAUUGAUAUGUAUAGCAAGAAACAUGCGAGAAAUUUUCCUACCUCAACAUGGACUAAGUACUGACCAUCAAAACUGCAGCUGAAGAAAACAAAUAAUCCACCCAUAGAAAAGGAAAAAGGAAAGAAGGUGGUAAACUUCAUGACACUGGUUAUCAUGGAACCAAAACAGAGCUAGCGAGCAAUCACGGAGCCAACGGAGCCAGCAAGCCAAGUAGUGAAUUGAGCCUCCCAUCUUGACUCAGUAGGUUGCUGAGGAUUGGUGAUACUUGCCAGAACUAUCCCAGAUUCUGGUGCUCCUGCAACAACCCUGACAAGUCACCGAGGGCAUCCAAUCCGACGACC
rnacentral:lncRNA from 1 species